UAAAAAUGUGGGUCUCACAUUCCACUAACUUUUUCAACCAAUUUUUCUCUACAUUUCUUAAAACUCGUGUUCGGUCAAAGAGCGACUCCGGGGAAGGAGGGAGUAUAACAGAGUAGCAUCAUUUAUCACAUACAACGUCAUUUACUCGAAUUAAAUAUGCAAAACUAUCUCAUAAAUAUCACACCUGUAAAUAACCAACAAGUCACUACCUCAAUAAAUAUGUUUGGUGGGGGGAUAUUUGUACCUAAAUAUUGCUUAUAAAGAAGAAUGCGUACUACCUCAACAUAAAUAGUCAGACUUUUUUUAGAAAUUAUAAAAUCUUUAACCUUGAUUAAAUUAAUGCUUAGGUUAAAGAAGUGCGCCGCACAUAUGAAAAUGAAACAUAUACUAUUAUUUAGUUUGAAAAUGUAAUAGAUUUAGAGGUAGAAAUGAAUGGGUUGGUGAAAAUAUUGUGAAUUUACAAAUGCACUUGUGCACAAUCUUCACCGGCCGGUCAAACAUUUUAUUGAUUUUAACCAUUAGAUUAUUUCCACACAACCCAAAUAUCUUUGGAGCUUUAUUUGUGUGCCUAUAAAUUCAACUCAUCAACACAUGAAUCCAUGACUUUCUCUCUCACUAACACACACAUCUUAUCUUAGACAAGGGGUUUUCUCAGAUGAUCGGUUGAAAGUUUGAGGUGAUUGAACGAUCAUGGCGUGUAUUGAUGUCGUGAAACAUGUAAGCGAUUUCUGUAUUAUUCUUGUCAAGUCAGCCGUCGCCUUAAUUUUGCAGUUAGCCUUUGCUUCAUUGUCUGUUCGACCUUAAAAUUGAUAUAAAACCCUAAUUUUGCCCUUAAUUUAUGCACAAGAUUUCUUCAAUUUUUGAAAUUUGGAUCAUGUAUAGAUUAACUAGUGCACAUGAAUGAAUUUAAGGUUUUGAAAUUCUUCUAAGUAUUGAUCGACUAUCAAAUUAGGAACCAAUGAUCGUUUUGGAGACUAUAAAAUCAUAGGAAGAUCAAUCAAAAUAUAUGUAUGCAUUACAUAUAAAACUAUAUAUAAGUAGAACACUUAAAUUGUGAUAUGUAUAUGAAUGGAUGUGGAUACUAUAUAUUGAAUCAUGUGAGGAAAUAUAUAUUCAUAAAGAUGAAGAAAUAAAUAUAUAUAGAAUAUUUAGGUACUUGUAUUUUCUGACAUUGCUGAUCAUUCAGAUUUAGCUUGGAUCCUUCUAGAAUUGAAACUGCUGUAUUUUGUCAUCUACAUAAUAAAGCCAACUGUAAUUCUUACCUUUUUAUAAUUUCAAAACUAUAAUGAUAUGAUUCCAUGGAUUGAUUAGUGUUGGUGUUGGUGUAUGGUAUGGGUAAAAGUGAUUCAUUUAAUAUAGUUUUAGAUAGGUGGACCAUGGAAGCCCGUUGCAUAUUAAUGUUUCAUUUUAAGGUAGCAAACUCUUUGGAAUUGAAUCUGAUGAAUAAAUCAAGAAUUGGGAGUGUGGGUGCAUGUAUCUUGAAAUAUACCAUAUGCUAAAUAAAAACAAAUUGGUGGUGAUUUAAAUCUCUGUAUAAAAUGAGACACGAGACUGAAAUAGUUAGGAAAUUAAAAGGGUGUUUAAGAUUAGUUUAAGGUUGAACAUGCAAUGAAGCUAAGUUGUAACUUGCAAUUGACUGCUCGCUUUGCCAAGAUUAUGUAUGGAAAUCGAUCAAUCAAUUGCAGCAGAAAAGGGUAAGAAAUUUUGCAUUUUCAGAUUGUUGUACAUUACAAGAGUAUUUAUCUCUUUGCAGGCAGGGUAUGUACUAGAUAUAUAAUUUAAAUAUGAAAUUAUAUGGUAUUUUGUUUUAUUAGUUUCUA